rnacentral:lncRNA from 1 species
ACUCUAAUGAUUAUUGAAAUAUAUCAAAUAUUCUAUUAAUAAAUAUUAAAUAAUCAAAUAUUUUAUUAGAUAUUAUUAUAAUUCCUACAUACAGUUUUAUUUUUGUAAUAGACGAGAAGUUAUAUGAUCUUUAUACAACAUAAGGUCUUCGGCUUAUGUGCGUAACCUCUUUUUUCUUUCUGUUUCUAUUUUUUCUUCUAACUUCUUCUGUCCUUCUAUUUUGUUUUUUUUUUCUUUAUUACUCUUCCUCAAGUUCUGAUUUCAAUACCCAUUUUAUGUUGUAUUUUGUUUACCGGCCC